rnacentral:misc_RNA from 1 species
GCGAUACCAUUUGGGUGGGUUCACAUCCCACUUGGGGUCAUGUGGACGAGCAAAAUAAUCUCCGUACAAACGUUUCCUCACGCUAACAUUGAAGAAAAAGAAAUAAUGGUACACAAAGAAGAACACAAAAGGCCAUCCUUCGAGGUAGCCAUUGAAAUGGGCAGGAGGCACAAGGGUUAGCCAAGUAAAAACUGAGGUGACAAGGGCAAGUUGCUCAAAAAUGCUCGCUUCACCCAACGAAUGUUUAUAAAAGCAAUACAACCCGUAAAACGCAAGUGAUAUAGCCACAAACCACGGCCAAAAUAACCACGUCCAGCUAAAAUACAUCCAGAAAAAUGGGUCCAAGAGCAAAUUCACUGUCCACUUUGCGGCUGCAAUUGCAAUCGAGAAGAAAACAGACCACUUGAUGAUAUCAACUGGAGUUAAUUGCAAAAGGGUCGUUUUCACUUCAUCAAGAGAGAGGUUUUUCAGACGCAUCAGCCAUGGGUGGUUUUGUGGGUAGUCUGUGCUUGUAGAGCCGGUGUAAGAGCAUUUGACAGGAGAUAUCAAAUGGUUUCUCGUCAAUUUUAAUCGUGAUGAUGACUGAUACAGUGAAAAAGAACGAUUUAAGGAGUUUUUGCUGGGUUUGUGGACCUGAUGACACUGAAAGUUGAUAUCGCAACGAUGCAAUUGAAGGUGUUUGUUGAAAUGUCUGAGAGAAACUCUCUUCUUACCAUAGUCGUUGACGCUGUUUGCCCGAGCGAAACUAAAAGGGAUUGCUCUCGAGUGAAGUAUAAAAGAUGAAGUUUCCAUUGCUGAGUAAAUAAAAGGACAGUGAGCUUCCGGAGAAUUGGGGAGGUUUCUACAUCAGUUUUAGUACGGCCUCACUCAGAC